UACGAAGGGGGCUAGCGUUGUUCGGAAUUACUGGGCGUAAAGCGCACGUAGGCGGACUACUAAGUCAGGGGUGAAAUCCCGGGGCUCAACCCCGGAACUGCCUUUGAUACUGAUAGUCUCGAGUCCGGAAGAGGUGAGUGGAAUUCCGAGUGUAGAGGUGAAAUUCGUAGAUAUUAGGAAGAACACCGGUGGCGAAGGCGGCCCACUGGUCCGGUACUGACGCUGAGGUGCGAAAGCGUGGGGAGCAAACAGG
rnacentral:rRNA from 1 species